UAAUACAUGCAAGUCGAACGCUUCUUUUCCCACCGGAGCUUGCUCCACCGGGAAAAGAGGAGUGGCGAACGGGUGAGUAACACGUGGGUAACCUGCCCAUCAGAAGGGGAUAACACUUGGAAACAGGUGCUAAUACCGUAUAACAAUCGAAACCGCAUGGUUUCGUUUUGAAAGGCGCUUUACGGUGCCGCUGAUGGAUGGACCCGCGGUGCAUUAGCUAGUUGGUGAGGUAACGGCUCACCAAGGCCACGAUGCAUAGCCGACCUGAGAGGGUGAUCGGCCACAUUGGGACUGAGACACGGCCCAAACUCCUACGGGAGGCAGCAGUAGGGAAUCUUCGGCAAUGGACGAAAGUCUGACCGAGCAACGCCGCGUGAGUGAAGAAGGUUUUCGGAUCGUAAAACUCUGUUGUUAGAGAAGAACAAGGGUGAGAGUAACUGUUCACCCCUUGACGGUAUCUAACCAGAAAGCCACGGCUAACUACGUGCCAGCAGCCGCGGUAAUACGUAGGUGGCAAGCGUUGUCCGGAUUUAUUGGGCGUAAAGCGAGCGCAGGCGGUUUCUUAAGUCUGAUGUGAAAGCCCCCGGCUCAACCGGGGAGGGUCAUUGGAAACUGGGAGACUUGAGUGCAGAAGAGGAGAGUGGAAUUCCAUGUGUAGCGGUGAAAUGCGUAGAUAUAUGGAGGAACACCAGUGGCGAAGGCGGCUCUCUGGUCUGUAACUGACGCUGAG
rnacentral:rRNA from 1 species